rnacentral:sRNA from 1 species
ACCCAUCUUCAUGAAUUUUCUGCCUCUUUGCACUCAGUCUCGGCCAGGGCGUUUCCUGAGCCGUAAUUAACUUUGUCCAAGGAGACAGACCAUGUCCAAUCGCCAAACCGGUACCGUUAAGUGGUUCAACGAUGAAAAAGGCUUCGGCUUCAUCACCCCACAAUCCGGUGACGACCUGUUCGUACACUUCAAAGCCAUUCAAGCUGACGGCUUCAAAAGCCUGAAAGAAGGCCAGCAGGUCUCUUUCGUCGCUACCCGCGGCCAGAAAGGCAUGCAAGCUGAAGAAGUACAAGUUAUCUAACUUGCGCUUCACUGCUUGAAAAAAGCCCUGCCCUCACCGGCGGGGCUUUUU